rnacentral:rRNA from 1 species
UACGUAGGGUGCAAGCGUUGUCCGGAAUUAUUGGGCGUAAAGAGCUCGUAGGCGGUUUGUUGCGUCGGCUGUGAAAUCCCGAGGCUCAACCUCGGGUCUGCAGUCGAUACGAGCAAACUAGAGUGUUGCAGGGGAGACUGGAAUUCCUGGUGUGGCGGUGAAAUGCGCAGAUAUCAGGAGGAACACCGGUGGCGAAGGCGGGUCUCUGGGCAACAACUGACGCUGAGGAGCGAAAGCGUGGGGAGCGACCAGG